CCUACGGGAGGCAGCAGUAAGGAAUAUUGGACAAUGCCCGCAAGGGUGAUCCAGCCAUGCCGCGUGCAGGAAGAAGGACCUAUGGUUUGUAAACUGCUUUUGUACAAGAGAAAACCCCCUUACGUGUAAGGGGCUGAUAGUAUUGUAAGAAUAAGCAUCGGCUAACUUCGUGCCAGCAGCCGCGGUAAGACGAAGGAUGCAAGCGUUAUCCGGAUUCAUUGGGUUUAAAGGGUGCGUAGGCGGUUUGGUAAGUCAGUGGUGAAAGCCCUCAGCUUAACUGAGGAACUGCCAUUGAUACUGCUGAACUUGAGUGCAGUUGCUGUGGGCGGAAUAUGGCAUGUAGUGGUGAAAUACUUAGAGAUGCCAUAGAACACCGAUUGCGAAGGCAGCUCACAAAGCUGUAACUGACGCUGAGGCACGAAAGUGCGGGGAUCAAACAGGAUUAGAUACCCUAGUAGUC
rnacentral:rRNA from 1 species